AAUGAACGUUGGCGGCGUGGAUUAGGCAUGCAAGUCGUGCGAGAAAUCCCUGCUUGCAGGGAUGGACAGCGGCGAAAGGGAGAGUAAUACGUAGAAAUCUGCCCCUAGGCCUGGGAUAGCGUUGGGAAACUGGCGGUAAUACCGGAUAAUGUCUUCGGACCAAAGGUGUGAUUCCGCCUAGGGAUGAGUCUACGACCUAUUAGCUAGUUGGCGGGGUAAUGGCCCACCAAGGCGACGAUGGGUAGCGGGUGUGAGAGCAUGGCCCGCCUCACUGGGACUGAGACACUGCCCAGACAUCUACGGAUGGCUGCAGUCGAGAAUCUUGUCAAUGGACGAAAGUCUGAACAAGCGACGCCGCGUGCGGGAUGAAGGCCCUCGGGUUGUAAACCGCUGUCGUAAGGGAACAAAUCCCCUAGGGGUUUCUCCCCUAGGGUU
rnacentral:rRNA from 1 species